ensembl:lncRNA
GGGGGCGGGACGGAGCUGCGGGAGGGGCCCGGAGUGUGCCCUAUUGCAAUAGGGGAUGGGAUUGGGAUUGGGAUUGGGGUGUGGGAUUGGGGUUAGGACUGGGAUAUGAGAGUUGGGAUUGCGAUAGAUUGACACACAGUACAUGGGGCUGGGAUGUGGGAUUGGCAUUGGGAUUCGGGAUAGGGAUUGGGAUGCGGGAUACGGGAUUGGCAUGUGGGAUUGGGAAUGAGGUGUGGGAUUGGGAUUGGGGUUGGGAUUGGGAUGCGGGAAGUGGGUAUACGGGUACGGGACAGACUUGGCAAAGAUAUGGGAACGAUAUGGGGUGGAGUUGGGACGGGAUAUGGAUAUGGGAUGGGAUUGGGAUGAUCAUAGGAUGGGAUAGGUAUAUGGAAUGGAUAUGGGGUGGACACGGGAUGGAUGUGGGGAUAUGGAUUCAGGAAGGCUGUGGGAUGGAAAUGGAUAUGGGACAUGGGGUACAGGAUGGGGAUAGGAUAUGGGAUGUGGGGGUAUGGAUGUGGGAUGGCUUUAGGAUGGGGUAUGGGAUUGGAUAAGGGAUGGGACAUUGAUAUGGGAUGGAUAAGGAGAUGGGAUCGGUUUGGGAUGAGAUAUGGAUUUGAGAUGGAUUUGGGAUGGUUAUGGGAUGGAUAAGGUGAUAUGGAUAUAGAAAGAGAUUUGGCAUGGAGUUGGGAUGGGAUAUGGAUAGGGGAUGAGAUAUGGGAUGGGCUAUGGAUAUGGGAUGGGCUAUGGAUAUGGGAUGGAUUUGGGAUAUGGAUAUGGGAUGGAUUUGGGAUAUGGAUACGGGAUGGAUUUGGGAUUUGGAUAGGGAUGGAUUUGGGAUAUGGAUACGGG